UCUUGGUCAUUUAGAGGAAGUAAAAGUCGUAACAAGGUCUCCGUAGGUGAACCUGCGGAGGGAUCAUUACACAAAUAUGAAGGCGGGCUGGAACCUCUCGGGGUUACAGCCUUGCUGAAUUAUUCACCCUUGUCUUUUGCGUACUUCUUGUUUCCUUGGUGGGUUCGCCCACCACUAGGACAAACAUAAACCUUUUGUAAUUGCAAUCAGCGUCAGUAACAAAUUAAUAAUUACAACUUUCAACAACGGAUCUCUUGGUUCUGGCAUCGAUGAAGAACGCAGCGAAAUGCGAUAAGUAGUGUGAAUUGCAGAAUUCAGUGAAUCAUCGAAUCUUUGAACGCACAUUGCGCCCUUUGGUAUUCCAAAGGGCAUGCCUGUUCGAGCGUCAUUUGUACCCUCAAGCUUUGCUUGGUGUUGGGCGUCUUGUCUCUAGCUUUGCUGGAGACUCGCCUUAAAGUAAUUGGCAGCCGGCCUACUGGUUUCGGAGCGCAGCACAAGUCGCACUCUCUANCAGCAAAGGUCUAGCAUCCAUUAAGCCUUUUUUUCAACUUUUGACCUCGNAU
rnacentral:rRNA from 1 species